UACAGAGGUGGCAAGCGUUGUUCGGAAUUACUGGGCGUAAAGCGCGUGUAGGCGGCCACCGCAAGUCGACUGUGAAAUCUCCGGGCUUAACCCGGAGAGGUCAGCCGAUACUGCGGGGCUAGAGUGCAGAAGGGGCAACUGGAAUUCUCGGUGUAGCGGUGAAAUGCGUAGAUAUCGAGAGGAACACCUGCGGCGAAGGCGGGUUGCUGGGCUGACACUGACGCUGAUGCGCGAAAGCUAGGGGAGCGAACGGG
rnacentral:rRNA from 1 species